rnacentral:sRNA from 1 species
GGCCUGUAGGAUUCCCUACUGUUCAAGCAGCAACCAAUGCGAAUGUGUUUUUUAAAUGAAAGGGGUCUCCAUCUUCAUCUAUGUCGUAGAUUUCUUAAAUGUCAAAAAGAUAUAGUCUUUCAAACACUUGAUGCAAAAUUUGUACGCAAAAUGUAUUUGUUUUAAUCUGAAUAAAAAACCCAAUAAGACUUGUUUUCAAAACCGUC